rnacentral:rRNA from 1 species
ACUCUGGUAUUGAUUGGUGCUUGCAUCAUGAUUUACAUUUGAGUGAGUGGCGAACUGGUGAGUAACACGUGGGAAACCUGCCCAGAAGCGGGGGAUAACACCUGGAAACAGAUGCUAAUACCGCAUAACAACUUGGACCGCAUGGUCCGAGUUUGAAAGAUGGCUUCGGCUAUCACUUUUGGAUGGUCCCGCGGCGUAUUAGCUAGAUGGUGGGGUAACGGCUCACCAUGGCAAUGAUACGUAGCCGACCUGAGAGGGUAAUCGGCCACAUUGGGACUGAGACACGGCCCAAACUCCUACGGGAGGCAGCAGUAGGGAAUCUUCCACAAUGGACGAAAGUCUGAUGGAGCAACGCCGCGUGAGUGAAGAAGGGUUUCGGCUCGUAAAACUCUGUUGUUAAAGAAGAACAUAUCUGAGAGUAACUGUUCAGGUAUUGACGGUAUUUAACCAGAAAGCCACGGCUAACUACGUGCCAGCAGCCGCGGUAAUACGUAGGUGGCAAGCGUUGUCCGGAUUUAUUGGGCGUAAAGCGAGCGCAGGCGGUUUUUUAAGUCUGAUGUGAAAGCCUUCGGCUCAACCGAAGAAGUGCAUCGGAAACUGGGAAACUUGAGUGCAGAAGAGGACAGUGGAACUCCAUGUGUAGCGGUGAAAUGCGUAGAUAUAUGGAAGAACACCAGUGGCGAAGGCGGCUGUCUGGUCUGUAACUGACGCUGAGGCUCGAAAGUAUGGGUAGCAAACAGGAUUAGAUACCCUGGUAGUCCAUACCGUAAACGAUGAAUGCUAAGUGUUGGAGGGUUUCCGCCCUUCAGUGCUGCAGCUAACGCAUUAAGCAUUCCGCCUGGGGAGUACGGCCGCAAGGCUGAAACUCAAAGGAAUUGACGGGGGCCCGCACAAGCGGUGGAGCAUGUGGUUUAAUUCGAAGCUACGCGAAGAACCUUACCAGGUCUUGACAUACUAUGCAAAUCUAAGAGAUUAGACGUUCCCUUCGGGGACAUGGAUACAGGUGGUGCAUGGUUGUCGUCAGCUCGUGUCGUGAGAUGUUGGGUUAAGUCCCGCAACGAGCGCAACCCUUAUUAUCAGUUGCCAGCAUUAAGUUGGGCACUCUGGUGAGACUGCCGGUGACAAACCGGAGGAAGGUGGGGAUGACGUCAAAUCAUCAUGCCCCUUAUGACCUGGGCUACACACGUGCUACAAUGGAUGGUACAACGAGUUGCGAACUCGCGAGAGUAAGCUAAUCUCUUAAAGCCAUUCUCAGUUCGGAUUGUAGGCUGCAACUCGCCUACAUGAAGUCGGAAUCGCUAGUAAUCGCGGAUCAGCAUGCCGCGGUGAAUACGUUCCCGGGCCUUGUACACACCGCCCGUCACACCAUGAGAGUUUGUAACACCCAAAGUCGGUGGGGUAACCUUUUAGGAACCAGCCGCCUAAGGUGGGACAGAU